UACGUAGGGUGCGAGCGUUAAUCGGAAUUACUGGGCGUAAAGCGCACGUAGGCGGCUUGGUAAGUUAGAGGUGAAAGCCUGGAGCUCAACUCCAGAAUUGCCUUUAAGACUGCCGAGCUAGCAGGUGAGAGAGGUGAGUGGAAUUCCGAGUGUAGAGGUGAAAUUCGUAGAGAUCGGGAGGAACAUCAGUGGCGAAGGCGGCCACCUGGGACAACACUGACGCUGAAGCACGAAAGCGUGGGGAGCAAACAGG
rnacentral:rRNA from 1 species